GAUGAACGCUGGCGGCGUGCCUAAUACAUGCAAGUCGAGCGAACGGACGAGAAGCUUGCUUCUCUGAUGUUAGUGGCGGACGGGUGAGUAACACGUGGAUAACCUACCUAUAAGACUGGGAUAACUUCGGGAAACCGGAGCUAAUACCGGAUGAUAUUUUGAACCGCAUGGUUCAAAAGUGAAAGACGGUCUUGCUGUCACUUAUAGAUGGAUCCGCGCUGCAUUAGCUAGUUGGUAAGGUAACGGCUUACCAAGGCAACGAUGCAUAGCCGACCUGAGAGGGUGAUCGGCCACACUGGAACUGAGACACGGUCCAGACUCCUACGGGAGGCAGCAGUAGGGAAUCUUCCGCAAUGGGCGAAAGCCUGACGGAGCAACGCCGCGUGAGUGAUGAAGGUCCUCGGAUCGUAAAACUCUGUUAUUAGGGAAGAACAUAUGUGUAAGUAACUGUGCACAUCUUGACGGUACCUAAUCAGAAAGCCACGGCUAACUACGUG
rnacentral:rRNA from 1 species